rnacentral:lncRNA from 12 species
AUGGCUGACAAAGCCUCACAUAUUUACCUCUUGGCCCUUUACAGAACGUUUGUGGAUGUCUGGCCUAGGAUCCUGAGAUUCACGGAGAAUUCUUUGGGCCUGUGUCCUCAUUGUCCACCCUUGGCAGUCUCAGUGUCAUACCUGAGCAGGGGCUGUGUACCAAAAGCACUGGCUGUGGUACAGGACCAGCCCCUCAGGAAAUUCCCAGCAGAUCCUCAGUGUGAGCUGCAGAGCAAUGCCUGCCCAGCUUGGCUGCAAGCAGCCUUCCAGCAAGGACUCUUGUUCCGAAUCCUGAGACUGGCAUCAUUGAGGUGCUUUACUUGGCACUUUCAAAGGGGGAUGGCAGGGGACAGAGAUGGGUGGGGAGUGAUGGAGCUGGGGUACACUGCGGAAAGGUUCCGAGGUCCAUGAAUGCUGCAGCAGACAGUGCAAAAGGAGCCUGCAUCUGUCUGCACGGGUCUCUGAAGAGCCUGGCUUGUCAGUCUGCAGGCAGGCUCAGUGCCUUGUUUCUCAAAUGGUGUCCCUGGUGCUCACUGGGCUGGGCCCGCGGUGGUCGCAGCCGCUGAGAUGAACAGAAAGGAAGUUAAUAGUCCCUGUGAUGUGAUGAUUUCGAAGGGUUCUCGUGUCCUCUUCUUUCAUCCAUUCAUGUGCUCGUAUGUGGUCACUGAGCACCUGUUCCCUGCCAGCCUCUGGGGCAGCCCCCGAGACUCAGGAAACACCUGGCCUGGCCACGUCUCUCACCUGGGUUACAGCCCCGCAGAGCAAGCCCCAAGGUGAAAGGGGUAGACCCUGGGGCCAGCCCCCCUGGCUCAGCUCUUAGCUCCCCCACUUCCUUGCUUGGGGACUUUGGUUGGGAAACUCUCCCUCUGUCUCAGCGUUCUCAUCUGUAAGAUGGGGACAAUACUAAUACCUAACUUAUGCAAGUGUCAUACAGUUUAGUAGGUUCAUCAGUGUAAAGAGCUUGGAACGGGGCCUGGAAUCUGGUAAAUAAAUAACCGAAUCAUUAAUGACA